CUGACGGCCCCAGAUGGAGGCUGGCCCACCCUGCCCCAGCAGAUGGGAGGCUAUUUUUUAACCCCACAGGAAGAAGAGGACAGAAAUGAUUGCAGGGGGUUAACCUAGGCCCCUGGGGACGCUCCCUGUUUGCAUCCUCCUUUCCCCACAACCCAGAGAGCUAUGUGGGCUUCACCUGGAGUUCCCUGAAUCCUUCUGGAGCUCCCCGCAGAUCACAGCCGGAGCUGGCAGGGCCUGAGUGGCCCCUGUCUGCCAGGCGAGGGACCCAGAGCCCAGAGAAGUUUGACCAGGACUGGCUUCCUCUGCCCUCUCUGCUGUGUGCUUCCACCAGUGAGAAGGGCUGAAUAUCACCUGUGAGCCUGCCCCUGCUCCCAAGAACACCCUUUGGACACCUGUGGGCUCUGCAAGGUUGGUGUAACCCCUACAGAUGAGGAAACCAGAGACAGAGAAGUGAAGUAACUCAUGCAGGUGACGGCAGAGGGCAGAGUCAGGACUUGAACCUGGAGAGCCUGGCUCUAAAGCCCAAGCUGGAAUCUCGAUACUCUACACCUCGAUAAGUUUUUGGGAAAUGACUGACUAAACAGAUGAACGCGUUUGCCCCCCCGCCGCCCCAGAGCCCCCUUAAAGCCUACAUGUGGCAGUUUGGGCCCAUUUCCUUGGCUUCCCUCCCUGGAGGGGCACCCACUGCCAGUGUCCCUGCUGAAAUUUAGCAUCAUAUUCCAUGGCGAUUUUCCACCAGUGGAAAUCACAGGUGUUCUCUGGUAUCACAGCGGGGUCAGGGAUGACCUGAAAUAUUGUUCAUGCUCAUCACAACUGCAUGGCCCACCGCGGGGUCUUGUCACUCAGUGAGUUCUUGAAGAGGCACAGACAAAUGGAGUUCAACAAAUGGAAAACAACUGCCUUUAAUUAGCUCCGAGGACUACAAAGGGAACAACGUUAUAAUAGCAGCAACUCCAAGGAAGCAGCCACAGCUCUCAGCUCUCAGACCUGGGGCUGCCGCUCAUCAUCAGCUACAGCUAGGUUUGAUGGGAGUGCCCCCAUUUCAGGGGACAGCAGGCCCCCUUCACUCCCCGACUCAGUCCCCAUCUGCAGCAGCACAGCCUUCCUUGGCCUCACCAGGGAAGAAGAACAGGCCCCGCUCUCAGACAAGCCUUCCCAGAAGCCUGAGGACUCAAACACCCAAAUGUGUCUGGGUCCCUGCCCCGAGCCGGCCACCCAGGCAGCAGCCCUGAAUCACUCGGUCAGCCAGCGGCAGGGCAGGCCAAUGGGCUGGAGGGUAGGCAGGCAGGCAGACCCACCUCUGCAUCUCUGCUGACUGCCUCGGCUGAGGAAAGGCAGCACCAGCCCCCAACCCUGAAGUUCUAGAUCUCAUGCAGCCUCUCUGUUCUGGAACCAUCCAGAGGCACUGCCCUUAUACAUGGUCCACCCCCAGGCUCAGACAAUGAGAAUUCCACAAGCAGAGGGGACUCUAUUUGGGGCACAGAGAGGUUAAGUAACUCCCCUCCUAAGGUCUCUCAGCAAGGAAGCCACUGAGCCGUGGGACUUGAGCUCAGGGACUCUUGAUCCCCAGUCUCAGGUGUCACAGCCCCAUCUGGGCUCCUGCUAGGGAGGAGGAAGGCAGCAGGGGGUGUCUGAGGCCAGGGUGCAUCAGCCCUAAAUGCCAGACAGAGGCAGGAGAAGUCUCCCCAUGAGUCCCAGCCCCAUUAGAGGCUCCAGGUCGGGGAUCCCAGACCCCCUAUCCUUGCUGGGAGACACAACCCAGAACUCUGCAUCCCUGCAGCCACCAAAAAAGGCAAAAGCUGCCCAGAAACACUUUCUCCUCUUCCGUGGCCAAAUCCACGAACUUUCUCGAGGUCUGUCCCCCUGCCCCGUGCAGGUCCAGCUUCAGUGCAGCCCAGCUCUGUGCAGUUUUCCACAAAAGCCUGUGGCUUCCUUCUCCUCCCUCUGCUUCUGAUACCCCAGGAGUUACACACAAAAUGUUGGCGGUGGUCUCCAGGAAGACCCCUGCAUCCCACAGCUCUCCCCAGAAGUUGCCAGCAGUGACCUCCUGAGCCCAGGUGGGGAGUCCCAGGCAGGACAGGGGCUGGGGCUGCAGGCCCUGGGGCCCUGUUAGUGAAGCAGCAAGCCGAGGGUCCCUGAGAGUUUCCCUUGGCCCCUCUGAGGGCUGCCCUUUGAGGUCUUGAGGUCUUGGAGUAUCCAUCGCCCCCACGGCUUACUGUCCCCACCAGCGGAGGAUGAAAGUGCCACAGCGAUGUUCCACGCCAAGAGACCACAGAGACCACCAACCCCUCUUCCCACCUCAGGCUUUCAGAGGCCAGCGGAUUUAGGCGGACAGGCUGUGCGCUUGAGGGCAGCCAGGGCGGUCAGUGGAGGGACGUGGUCCGGGGCCUGGCCACAGCUCCCCACCCAGGGCCCUGGGCUAUUGUUACUCACCGCGGAUGAAGGUCGGCGAGUAGGUCGGGAAGGAGUCGAAGAUGCUGUUCGAUGCCAUGCCCCGCUCUGAAGAAGGCCAGGCUGCGAGGCCCAGGGUGGUGACGC
rnacentral:lncRNA from 1 species